rnacentral:lncRNA from 1 species
AGAAAGCCCACUCCCACCGUUUUCCCCCCUCACAACCCCCUGUCCAUUCCCCCGAUUGCCCCCUUCAACCCCUCAAGUUCUUCUCUGCAACGCCUCCCUCCACCCUCAGACCCAGUUUCCACCCCACAGAAGCCCCACUUAUCCCUUCCUUUCUCCUUUCCACAACGCCUCCAUCCACCCCUGGAGUUAUUCAGGAGGAUCUGCAGAUGUCCCAGAGGAGUCUUGAAACUGACAGUUCCUGCCAAACCCCCAUGCAAAGCCCCACCCAAGCAAACCCCCCAGGGCCACCGGGUGAUGCCAUCCCAACCGCUGGUGACACUGGAACAAGUGCCCGUCCCCAAAUCUGUCACUGUCACCGUGGAACCUGGCGCCGUCCCAACCCCCAUCUACACUGAGAGCCCCGUCAGCGUCCUACGGCUCCUGGAGCUGGGUGCUGCCAUCACCCUGACUGUCCCCAGCUGUCCUCCCUGCUGUGGUGGCACAAUUGGAGUACGGUGACAUCGUCAUCAAAGAGGUGGUGUCAUC